rnacentral:rRNA from 1 species
CAUGCAUGUCUAAGUACAAGCCUCAGUAAGGUGAAACCGCGAAUGGCUCAUUAAAUCACACCUAAUCUACUGGAAAGUUACUAGUUACUUGGAUAACUGAGGUAAUUCUUGAGCUAAUACAUGCGAAAAAUCUCGACUCACGGAGAGAUGCUUUUAUUAGAUCAAAACCAAACGGCUUCGGCCGUCUCAUUGGUGACUCUGAAUAACUUUGGGCUGAUCGUAUGGCCUUGUGCCGACGACGUUUCCUUCGAAGGUGUGCCCUAUCAACUGUCGACUGUGAUAUAGACGCUCACAGUGGUUUUGACGGGUAACGGGGAAUCAGGGUUCGAUUCCGGAGAGGGAGCCUUAAAAACGGCUACCACAUCCAAGGAAGGCAGCAGGCACGCAAAUUACCCAAUGAACGAAGUUCGAGGUAGUGACGAAAAAUAACGAUACAGGACUCAUCCGAGGCCCUGUAAUUGGAAUGAGUACACUUUAAAACCGUUCCCGAGGAUCUAUUGGAGGGCAAGUCUGGUGCCAGCAGCCGCGGUAAUUCCAGCUCCAAUAGCGUAUAUUAAAGUUGUUGUGGUUAAAAAGCUCGUAGUUGGAUCUCGGCGGACAGGAGUCGGUCCGAAUGCUUUCGGUACUGGCUUGUUUGUCCGUGUGUUUUGCCAGAGGCAGGCGGGUGCUCUUCGCCGAGUGUCCGUCUGUGCUGGCAGGUUUACUUUGAAAAAAUUAGAGUGCUCAAAGCAAGCUCUCACGCUUGAAUAUUCGUGCAUGGAAUAAUAGAAUAGGAUGUCGUUUCUAUUUUGUUGGUUUUCGGAAAUCGACAUAAUGAUUAAUAGGGACAGUCGGGGGCAUUUGUAUUCAAACGACAGAGGUGAAAUUCUUGGACCGUUUGAAGACAAACUACUGCGAAAGCAUUUGCCAAGAAUGUUUUCAUUAAUCAAGAACGAAAGUUAGAGGUUCGAAGGCGAUUAGAUACCGCCCUAGUUCUAACCAUAAACGAUGCCAGCUAGCGAUCUGCAGGCGUUUUACUUUACGACCUUGCAGGGAGCUUCCGGGAAACCAAAGCUUGUGGGUUCCAGGGGAAGUAUGGUUGCAAAGCUGAAACUUAAAGGAAUUGACGGAAGGGCACCACCAGGAGUGGAGCCUGUGGCUUAAUUUGACUCAACACGGGAAAUCUCACCAGGCCCGGACACGAGAAGGAUUGACAGAUUGAUAGCUCUUUCUUGAUUUCGUGGGUGGUGGUGCAUGGCCGUUCUUAGUUGGUGGAGUGAUUUGUCUGGUUAAUUCCGAUAACGAACGAGACUCUGUCCUGCUAACUAGUGUCUGCUUCUUUUCUGAGCAGAUUAUUCUUCUUAGAGGGACUGGUAGCUCUUAGCUACACGAGAUUGAGCAAUA